rnacentral:rRNA from 1 species
UGCGCAGGCGGAAUAAUAAGUCAGUGGUGAAAUCUCUCGGCUCAACCGAGAAACUGCCAUUGAUACUGUUAUUCUUGAGUAUAGUUGUAGUGGGCGGAAUAUAGCAUGUAGCGGUGAAAUGCUUAGAUAUGCUAUAGAACACCAAUCGCGAAGGCAGCUCACUAAACUAUAACUGACGCUCAGGCACGAAAGCGUGGGUAGCGAACAGGAUUAGAUACCCUGGUAGUCC